AUUGAACGCUAGCGGGAUGCUUUACACAUGCAAGUCGAACGAGUGGCGGACGGGUGAGUAAUAUAUCGGAACCUGCCCAGUAGCGGGGGAUAACUACUCGAAAGGGUGGCUAAUACCGCAUACUAUUGGAUGGGCCGAUAUGGGAUUAGCUAGUUGGUGGGGUAAAGGCUCACCAAGGCAACGAUCCGUAGCUGGUCUGAGAGGAUGACCGGCCACACUGGGACUGAGACACGGCCCAGACUCCUACGGGAGGCAGCAGUGGGGAAUUUUGGACAAUGGGGGAAACCCUGAUCCAGCCAUCCCGCGUGUAUGAGAAGGCCUUCGGGUUGUAAAGUACUUUUGGCAGAGAAGCGGUAUCUGCAGAAUAAGCACCGGCUAACUCCGUGCCAGCAGCCGCGGUAAUAC
rnacentral:rRNA from 1 species